rnacentral:lncRNA from 1 species
GCGCGCGUGGGGGCGAGCUGGGCCGCUUGCUGGACCGAGCGAGGGGAACCAGUGGUCUGGUUUCCAGGGGCUUCUCCCCUUUUCUUUUCUUUUUCUUUUCUGAUUUCUUUUUUUUUCCAAGACAUUUUCCAAAAGAGUUUUUUUUAAGCAAAACAAUUAAAAUAAAACCAGAACAAACAAUGCAAAAUAUCUAUGCUCCAGGAUGAAUGCAAAAUCACGUUUCUAAACUUGUGAUGAGUUUUAAUCUUCACAAAAUUAUUUGUUUGCUAGAUUCAAAUGCCCACAAAAAUACUUAAAUAAAUCAAAUUAAUUCCUAUUAAUUGAAAUAAAAAUUUUGGGUGUUACGGUACUUCUAGUAUUUACUUUCUAUCUUAGUUUAUUUUAAGUAUACAACCAGCCUACUAGCAUAUUGCUUUGCCUUGUGUGAAGUGCUCGAAACCUUACCUGGAUCUAGAGUAGUAGAAUUAGUGUAGACGUGGUGUCUAGACUAAGUCUGCCCUUGUGGACUUCUUGUCGCACCUGAAGAACGCCAGCAGCGAAGCGUGACUGGCCUUUGUUGGACAUUAGGUGUUCUCUUCAGUGUGUUGUUAGGCAAGUUGCAAAUAAUAGUUGGCCUACAUGGUAGAUGCCUAGGGAAGUGUUUUGCCACACCAUUUUCACCUAUCGGCCACGUAGGAAGGGAGUUAACUCUAAAUAUACUUAGGAUAGCUUAGCC